UGUAAAAAAACUAGAAGGCCACAGAUCUUGAAAAUGUUUUUGUAUGGCAAAAUUUUCAAAAUGUGCCGUAAGUGUCAAAAUGUCUACCACAUUUUCCCAAGACCAGUGAACUUGCUCUAAGGGAUAAAUAAACCGUAAUCCUAGACAGAAUAUUCGAACGGUUAAAUCGAAGCCACCAUUUGUGUUUUUAUUUAUUAGCAAUAAAAUCGCUAAGAUCACUCAUAUUUUCUUUGUUCUUUUUUGUAUUCCCUUUACGGUUGGAUUGGCUAUCAAUUGGAUCGUCGGAACUGAGCGCUGUCUGCUCAAAAGACCGAUGACUAGAUUAAGACUGAGAUGACUAGCGGCAGCUUUUCGGAUUCCAGUUCCAGCGAUAGGAGCUCCAGCGGAAGUUAAUCUGGGGGUUUCAGAAGCGAUUUGUGCCGUUUUUCCAGUUCGGGAAGUGUCAACAUCUUCAACAUCAUAAUCACGCUCACGUCUCUCUCACCAUCAUAAAAUAACCAGGAUUGCCAGGAAGGAAAGAAACGAGCUUGGUGGAGUCAUUCGAAGGCUGCAGCUCUGAGCCCUAAUCUGACCGGAAGAAAUGUUAUGGAAUUUCCCGCUGCGAAUGAUAGCAACGUAUCAAUGCUAACGGGGCCAAAACAUUCAUGAAGUUGAUACCGAUCCAAAAAGUGGUGCUGAUGGUCAGUCCAAGUCACUGGGAUUUGGAGAGAAUAUCUCAGUUUCUCUGCGCCGUUUUCCCCCUUCCUGG